ensembl:lincRNA
UGAAUAAGAAUAUCCAGAUUCAGAAACAUUUAUUCCAUUUCAUUUUUUUUUUUCAGACUCUGUUAUGUGGUCUACUUGUAACAUGUCCUGAGGAUCCACUGAGAUAUUUAGAAGAAAAACUGAAGGCUAUAAUGGAAACUGGUCUCGAAAGUCUUCUUUGGGAUAUAUGCAUUGAUCCAUCAAUGAAACCAAAAAUUCGAAGACUGUCUGAAACUUAUUUGGAACAACUUUUUGGACUGGAUGAUCAACUGGUAAUUAUUAGUAACCAAGCACUCUAAAAUAUACAUUUUAAAUUUGGGUGAAAGUUUCCAAAUAGCUUUUUGACUUAAUGGGAGGUAUGAAAUAAGACUGUUUUGGAAUUGGGUAGUAAGGGAACAUUAAACACACACACAAACACACAUGCACACAGAGAGCCACAUUCAUAGUAACCUCUCUAACUUCUCAAGCAGCAUUUGAUAGACAUUUGUUCUCCUUCCUGAUAAACACUUUCCAUUAGAUUUCCUCUUUCCCCUACUCUCUCCUUUUCCUCCUCUCAUAUGUCUUCAUAUGAUAAAAAUGGCAUUAUGGAAAACCUUAAAUGAUGAUUUUUUUUUCUUUCCUUUCUAAUUUUGCUUCUCUGGUGUUCCAUCCCACCUCCAUUCCCUCUGUUCCCUGCCUUCUCAGAUCAGGAUUUAGGGAAUUAUCCUCAUGAAGGCAAGGCUAAAACAUUUAAAAGAGCUAACUAUAAAGUCAGACCUGAUUGCUACUGAAAGAAGCAAACAGCUCCAGCAGCUUCUUUUGAUCAUGUAAAGAGGACAAGGAAGUAAUUCAGGACUUGGAGACUUUUAGAAUAGAUGCUAUACCUAAGAGAAGCUAAAAUUAGCAAAAUUAUGAGAUCAGUGGCACAUGAGGAAAGAAAUACUAAUGCAAAUUAGACUCAAUAUUUUGAAAGGGAUAUUAUAAAAUAUAAGGCCAGAUUGUGGCCAAUGUUUAGCUAGCUGCCUAUAAGGAAUCUUUUAAAAAACUAAGUAAAAUUCUGAGACAUAUCAUAGCUACUUUAAACUUAAAGUUUUACUAGAAAAAUUAUUCUCAGAGAUGUUUCAUGAUACUGACUGUGCAAAAGAUAAAAUGUUGUAAGAUGAUCCAAACUUAGCAAGGAGUAUGACACUUUGUCAAGGUGUUGAAAAGAUGCCCACUACAUAUUGAAAGUUAGAAAAAAUAGAAACUAAAUGUGACUUUGUAAGAGCAAUGAGGAAAACAUUCAUCAAGGUUAGUGAUGAAAAUUUAAAUCUCCUGGCUCCCUAGAGUUGUUCAGUUAGAGGGUCAACCUUGGCUGGAUCUAGAUUAAUUCAUUUCUCCUUCACUCUCAGAAAAAAAUAUUUUUUAAACAAAAAACUAAACUCUUUAGUUCUCAAUGUUUCUAAUGUUUUAAAUUACAGCAUACUAAAUAAAGAUUAGCUUUCUUUUUUUUUUUUUUGUCAUUUUCCUAUAGUUUUAACUGCCAGUAAGAGAAUUUUUAAUAUUUUGACAAAAAAAUUUUAAAGGUCUUGAACAUAUGUAAUUUACCCAUUGAUUUUUAAGAUUGCAGGGAGCAGAUGUGGCUCUAGCCUGCUUGUGUGAGCACCUGCUUCACACAUGGGAGGUCCCAGGUUCAGUUCCUGGUGCCUCCUAGAAAAACGAAAAAACAAAAAUUAAAACAAAACAAAACAAAACAAAAAACAACAACAAGCAAAAACAAAUGAAAAAAACCAAGUCAGGGGAGCUGAUGUGGUUCUAGUUGGGCACUGGCUUCCCGUAUAUGAGGUCCAGGUUCUAUCCCUGACCCCUGGUACCUCAAAAACAGAAAACGGUUCCCGGAAAACAUAAGAACUGUCUAAUAAUAAAAGGCCAAAUUGUUCCUGGAAAACAUAAGAACUGUCUAAUAAUGAGGUAAAAAGAUGACUUGGUGUGUUCUGAAAUUAAAGAAUCAACUACUGCAUUGUAAGGAGGAAGUUGACUUCACAGAUUUGAUUCUCAUUUCUCCAGAUGAGCCUACUAAUUACAAGAGUAAAAGGUGUAUAUAACAUUUAAAAUUUUUGUUCACUAUGGAAAUUUAAGCGUAACACAAAAUUAGAGAGACUGCUAUAAUGACAUUCCAUUUUCCAUCUUAAACAACAGUCAAUAUUUUGACAAUAAUAUUAAUCUCUUCUCCCUCCCUCUUUUUUUUGCUGGAGUAUUAGAAAGCAAAUCCCAGAUUUUAUUUCACCAGUGAGUACUUAUUGUGCACCUUUAAUAGGAAAUGGCAUUUUUUAGAGAACAUAAACCUGAUGCAUUGUCUUAUGUACUAAAAUGAACAAUUCCUGAAUAUCAUCUAAUACCCCAAAAACGUCUUUUUACAUAUGCCUGUUCAAAUAAAAAUCCUAACAAUGUACUCACAUUGUUCUUAGUUGUAUGUAUCUAAUGUUUCCAAAGUUCUCCUUCCUUAAUUUUUUUCCAUGUCACUUAUUUAUUAAAGAAUACAGAUCUUUGUUCUGUAAUAUAGCCUACCUUCUGAUUGUUUCCCAUGUUAUCAUUUAACUUAUUCUGUUUCCUUUAUUUCCUGCAAACUGAUAGUUAAAUCAAGAAGCUUAAUUGUGUUCAGGUGUAUGUAUUUUCUGUCAAUACUACUUAAGGGGUGUUCUGUUCUUCCUCCUGCAUCAUAUCAGGAGGUUCAUGUGGUCUAGUUGACUCUGUUUUAAUAAUUCUUGAUUCUUAUAUAUAUUAACAUAAUUGUUUAUUAGCUAUAUCCUACAAUAUAAAUGUAAUGGUUUCAGAAGAACAGUUUCAUAGGACCACUAACAAUAAAACUACUGAAUGUGGAUUAAGAAAAUUAUGUGGUUCAUUUUUUGUCCUUAAGAUGUGCAUGUCCUAUCAGGUACAUUAGUAAAAAUGACACACUCUUUUGACAUCUGAUUGACUUCUUUUUUGUGUGUCUAUGGUUAUUUUUAUUCUUUGAUAUAAUUAGGCUUCCUCAAUUCUAUAUGGCAUUAUAUGGCAAACUCAAGCAAUACAAUAAGGAAUAUUCAGAGAAGUAUUGCUUACAUUCCUGUCCCUUCAUCCUCCCUAUUUCAUUCCUUCCUUUAGGUAACCAGUUUUAAUAGUUUCCAAUUGAUCCUUUCAUUGUUUCUCUUUGAAAAAUAUAAGCAAAUACACUGUAUCCAUCCCUCUUUCCACUUCUUACACAGAAGUAGCAGACUAUAAAUAAUGUGUUGCAUCUUGCUUUUUUUCCCACUUACUGUGCCUUGGAAUUGCUCCCUUUUUGCAACUUUCUUACUAAUGCUUAUCAAAGGGAGCACCAUGUAACAAAAACUACAAUCUGAAUGAAAGGUGUGGACUUAAAAAGUCUUACUGAUGUAACAAGUCAAGUUUAACUACAUGUAGGAAACAACCUUACAAUACCUGGGGCUGGGGUUUAAAACAAGAAUCAAUUGGUCUAUAACCGACAUCCUGUACACUUGCUGCUGUCUCAUUUGAGAUAGAAAGAUUAUCAUUACUCUGAGAAGACAUCAAAAUAAAUAUUACUGUAAUCAGGAAGGAGUGAAAAUAAUGAAAUGUAGAAAUAAUGAAGCAAUGAAAUACAUUCAUACUUUUUAUUUUAGGAUAAUUUUAAGUAUAAAGUAUAAUAAUGAUUCUUAAUGUGUGGUAUUUGUGUUUUGUUUGCUAUUUAUUAGAAGUGUUCUAAAGAAUGUCUUUAAAUUUGUAAUUGUUUAAAUUGCUUCAGGGACUUUAGUUACAUUGUAAUAAAUAUUUAUAUGUUUAAGAAAAAAUUUAUUCUUCAAAUUGUAUUUAUUUAACUAUGUGUUUAUUAAAUGGAGC